AUGUCCAGGGCCUGGGGACAGCCUGGGAAUGUCCCUGUGGUGCUCUCCUGGCUCAGGUGCCUGCACGGGCAGAAGCUGGUGACCAUGUCUGUCCAACACCGGAGAGGGGUGUCUACUCUCCAGCUUACCAUCCCAGCUCCCGUCCUGGAGGAUGAGAUGGAGGAGGAAGAGGUCUACGUGCACUGCCUGCUGACAGCGUGGGGCCCCGUGGGCACCCGGGGACAUGGCACCAGGUCCUGCUUCUACAGCCAAGCCACAGACAGGUACGCUCAGCCCUGGCACAGGCUCCCUCAUGGUGGCCCAGGACCCAACCACCCAUGGCUGCUUUGGGAGCAGAAGCCACCGGGCAGGGGGACCAAGCCACCCCACUGUGGUCUAGAUGCCACCUCUACCCCUGAUAGCAGGGUAGCAUCACUGCACAUCCCAGCUCUGGUGGGCCCCUCUGGGUGCAGGUGCACUGGGGAGGUGCUGAUGGGAGAUAAAAGACCCCUUUGGGGUGGCCAAGACCUGCAGAGCUGGAGGGACCUGCUGGCAUGGCACCAUAUGGGUCUUGAGGGGGAACCCCUGGAUCCCCAAGCUCUGUCCUCUCCUCGCAGCUGGCACAAUGCAGAGGACCCUUCGCAGAGCGCCCUGUGCCACUGCUGUGACACCGGCUGUCCCCCCGGUGACACCCUCCCCGGAGAGCUGCCAGGUACCAGGGAUGGGAUGGGAUGGCCCCAUGUGAUCUUGGGGGGCUACUGGGUCUGGGACAGGCUUUAUGGGCUGUGUCCUUCUGCAGGGUUCCCAGGAGAGGGGACACCCCACUGGGAGACAGUUGGACCAUUGCUGGUGCAGAAGGAGAAGGUGCCAUGGUACGAAGGUGAGCGGACAACCCCAAAUGUCACCCCAUGGCCCCAAAGCCACCAUCCCAGGUGUCGAAGCGACCUCUGAACCCCUUAUUUUGUCUUUCUCUGCCGUCCCCAGAGCCGUGCCGCACAGUGAAGAGGUUCCUGUUGGCCGGGCUGGCCCUGGUGGGCAGCGCCCUGGUGGCAGCCACCCUGGUGGGGGGUCUGCUGGGGCUGGCCUUGGCUGCGUGGCGCCUGGGCGGGCGCCGGCGGAGACAGCGGCGGCUGAGGCGGCAGUGUCCCUUCCACGCCGAGCUGCGGAGCGUGGUGAAGGCUUUGGCCCCCAGGGAGAUGAAGAAAGGAGGUGA
rnacentral:lncRNA from 1 species